AAUUGUCCUUCAGAGUCAUUUCAGGGCCCUGUGUAUUUUCCCUGAAAAUAAUAAUAUCUAUGCCUUGUCAAGCAUUUCCUAUAUGACUAGCAUGUUACCUUAAAACCUUCUAACUCAGAGGUGCUCAACAGAGUGGAUUAUGUUUUAAGCUGUGGUGGAUCUGAUACUCAGGUAGGGUCAAAAACUUCUGCCCCAAUUCUUACAACACCUUCAGAAGAUAUGUUUCAAUAUCCCCAUUUUACAGGUAAGAAAACUGAGACUCAAGGAGGUGAACUGUCUUGCCUGAAGUCACAGCAAAGAUGAGGCAAAGUCAUGAUUGAAGCCCUGGUCUGAGUCCAAAGCCCCCAUUACUUUAGGCCUCCAAGCUGUCACAUGCAUGGCCAGCCGGCACUCCCUCUAACUCCAGGUGAUAUGCACUGGCCUCUGAGCCUGUAUUCAACAUACAACUUCUUCUUUCCUGCCUUCUUCCUUUCUACUACUCCUUUCUUCCCCUGCCCAAAGCCCCACAACCAGACUUAGCCAGACUUCAUGAUCAGGGGACCACAUGGAUGCACUGGGUUGAUGCCUCAGCUUUGGGUUGAUAGCAUCCAGCUCAGAGUAAUGCCCACCAGGGGCCUCCCAACAGUCCCAGAUCCUCCUAACCAUGUAACAACAUGUCUUCCUUAAACUCACCCAAGAAGACAGUGGUCCUGAGAUUAUUGCACAAGUUACUUUUCUGAGCAAAUUUAAAAAAAAAAUUAAAAGCAAAUACUUGAAAAGUCAAAUUAAAUAUCACAGGGGACAAAAAGCAAAAUCAUGAAAAAAUGUGGUCAAUCAUUAGCAGAGAGGUUGAAAAGACACGCUCCAAUUGCUUUAAAAAUGCACAGAACCCAGGUCUCCUUAAAAUAGUUUUGCAAAGUACAUUGAGAAUUCCAUGCAGUAAUAUGAAACACAAGUCCCGCUGCUGCCACUGAACAUGCUUCAGCUGGCUGAACCGAAGGAGCUUGACAUUAACCCAAGGCUCUGCAAAACACAACAGGAAAGCACAAUAGAGUUGCAGUUGCAAAGCUGCCCCAGAUGUGUACAUUUUCUGCUCCAUUAAAAUAACUUGGAUGAGAGGCAAAGCACAUUUGGUCCACAGAAAGAGGGCGUUAGGGGAGGGCCAGGGAGAGCACAGUCAGCCUCCAUAGUCCUCCCACUCCCCAGUUUUGCCUCCCCUCUAAGCCUUCCUUCACAUGGCUAAGUCUGUCUAAGUGCAAAUAUGGGAUGUGAGGAUGAUCUGGCUUCGACAUCUGUCACCCCGUUGUCGCCAGGGUUGAUUUGCCUGAUCUGGCUGGCUAGGCGAGCUUCCCCUUCCUCCCUCACCCAUCCAUGUGCGUGUCUU